UAGCACGGGCCCUCACCAUCAGAGCAGCUUCAGAGAGCGCUCUCGCUGUGACAUAACUGUUUCAGAUUGCCAGAGGUGACAACAGCUGGGCAUGUGUUGGUGAAAACAUUGUGGAUGUUCUCUUAGAAAUGGAAAGGGAGAGGGAAAGGGAGGAACAGCUGUACUGGGACCUGCAGCUGCUAAAUGUUGGAAACCUCGACCGGCUCUGUCCGAUGCACCAAAGCACACACCCAGAUCGUUUCCCAACACGUUACGACCCAUCAGAUUCAGAGCCAUCGCAGUCGGUUCUGCAUAGGAGGGUGAGGAGGUUAAAGAGAGCAGCCAGGCACUGCUGGGCCGAACUGGCGUCAGAGGGCUUGCGAACCAUGGUGCCCUCUCCCUGGCAGGGUGGAAGGCCAGGGGUCAAAGUUCACGCCUGGGGCCGCGUCUCCCCGCCAGAUCUCGUCUUCUUGGUGGAAGUCAAGUAUGACGUUGUGGCCCGCUUGCUUUUCACAGAAAUGCUCCAGGAGCAUCACACCCUCAGUUCCUGGCAAAGCCUGCUGCCAUGGCAGCAGCACAAGGAGCACGAGGGGCUGGAGGAGCUGGCGGAGGAGGUUUUGCUAUCAGGUGACAUGCUCCAUUUGGCGGAGCUGCCAGGAGCUUUUAGGAUAUACAGGGCCUGUCAGGGGGAGUCUGAGGAGCAAUCCUGGUCGGCCAUGUCUCUCCUGUAUGAGCUACGCGCGUGUCGCGAACACGAAAGGGACGCAAUCACAGCCCUGGGAGAGCGGCUGGACAGAGAGAGCUUGAGACUGCUGUGUUCACACAUCCGGUUGGCGACGCUCAGAGCUCAGAGAGAAAGCACGUCACAGGCAGCUCUUAUGGCGGCCCGGCAGUCCUGGGAGGCGUGGCCCCAUAUAAACAGUCCAUGCAGACGUCAGCAGGCGCUUCUGUGGCUGCAGGCUGAAGAGGAGGAGACAAAUGAAGACGUGACGUCGGCCUCACCACAGCAGCACUCAGUGCUGCAGCUGCUGGUGCUGAGUCAGGAGCAGGAAAGAAGGCACCUGGUCAGGUUGGUACACGGACUGUCCCCGGAGGACUUGCAAGGAGACACAGCUCCUGCAAAAGAAGAGGGCAACCAGCAAGCUGCAUUAAGAAAGGGCUGUAUUAACAGGCUGAGGGAACUCCAUGACAGGCUGCAGACACAGAAUGAGACCAGGGCUCCUUUAGAGCAAGCUGACCUCGCACGCGGGUCUGAGGCCCAGCCCCAAAUGAGCAGUAACCCAGCAAUGUGGUCCCAGCACCAGGUGGAAGCCUGUGCCCUGCUCCUCUUGACCCACUUGCUGGAGCUUCAGGAGGCGCAAGCGUCUGCGUUACUCUCAGGUCUGACGGACAUGAGUGUGCAGCAGAUCCAAGUUCUACAAGCCAAGUAUGAGCGUGACCUUCAAGCACAGAGCUGCGCCAACCUGCUCCAGCUCCUGGAGCCUGAUGCGCCUCUGAACCCAGGCUCUUUACUCAUGCCUGCUUCAUCCAUAAUCAACCACAGCAGCAGUGACCGACCGACAACUCCAGAACCUCCAGAACCCCACAACAGCAGUGAUGAGCCGGCACACUCUCUGCAGUACAAUUCAGCCAGUGUCCAAGCUGCUGAUGGGACCGUCAAACAGGACGUCUGCACAGGUUGUGGAGCCGUCAUGGAGGAGCUGCCCUACUUGGAGAUCUCGUGCAUGGGGAAAGAGGCCGAGGAGGAGGAAGACGGAAGCAUGAGGGCCCAGAGCUACGAGAAGCAGGGGUCUCUGAUCACCCUGGCUUGGAGCCGACCGCCAGAUGGGGGCACCGACUGUGAGGCGGAAUCUGCAGAUGGAGUCGCAGCACAGAGUGAGAGCGCUACACAGACCAGGGUCCAGUCCAGCGACAUCAGCAGCACGGCUGAACACACGCAGUCCGACGAGACCUCGGCAGAGAGCUACGAUGAAGAGGCCGCAGAGCAGCAGCGCAGCCCACACGGAAAGCUGACCUCAGAGGAGGGGCCAGCGGCUGGUCAAACAGACAAGGAGGAAGCCGUGUCUGGGUGUGACCUGCAGACACAUACACCACCCCCCUUGUUUGACCUCCCAGAGGCCAAGCCGCACUCGCAUCAGCCCACCCCUGCAUCGAGCAGUGAGAUCGGCACAGAUGGGGACAUGGUCGAGUCAAGUCCUGCAAUACAGUCAGAUUCAUGGGAUUCGAGAGAACCCGAUCCCACUGGUGCUGAGGAGCAGGAAAACACUUUACAAACCAGAGCAGCGUGUGGCCUUGCAGAGAGGGAGACACUGAGGGAAUCCACUGUGACUGAGAGGGAGCAGAUAAGAGAGCAAGUAUCAGCCGUAGAGAGAGAAAGAACAAUGCGCAACCUGGUGGACAUGCAAAAAAGGGCUGAACAGAGGCACCAGAGAGACCGGGAGCGGCAGCGGCUGAGGGUGCAGGAGCGGCUGUCAAUCAUCCAGAACAAAAAGACAGAGAAAGACCUGCUUGGACUCAAACACAUGGAGCAGCUAAAACACCUCACACAAGACCUUCCACGGGAGGACAAACAACAGCAAAAGACUGUCGUCAGGGAGCGGCUGGAACAGCUGAGACGAGAGCGCUCCCAUUUGAUGCAGUCCAAACGGGACAGAAACACUGCAGGAUUUAAGGAGCUCCUGGGUCCAGUAACGCUCUACAGAGAAACGGAAGAUACGACAGACUGA
rnacentral:lncRNA from 1 species